rnacentral:tRNA from 1 species
CCCUCUUAUAGCUCAGCUGGAAGAGCGUGGGACUGUAAUUGAACAUUGUCAUCCCAAGGUCCGCGGUUCGAUCCCGCGUGAGAGGAUC